GCAUGUGUAAGUAUAAAUAGUUAACUUUGAAACUGCGAAUGGCUCAUUAUAUCAGUUAUAGUUUAUUUGAUGAAGAAUACUAAUUGGAUAACCGUAGUAAUUCUAGAGCUAAUACAUGUAUAAAGUCUUGUAGACUGCAUUUAUUAGAAUGAAAACCAUAGGUUUCGGCCUAUUCGUGAGUAAUAAUAACUAAUCAUAUCGUAUGCUUAUGUAACGAUGUGUCUUUCAAGUUUCUGCCCUAUCAGCUUUCGAUGGUAGUGUAUUGGACUACCAUG
rnacentral:rRNA from 1 species